rnacentral:rRNA from 1 species
AUUGAACGCUGGCGGCAGGCUUAACACAUGCAAGUCGAGCGGGGGAGGUUGCUUCGGUAACUGACCUAGCGGCGGACGGGUGAGUAAUGCUUAGGAAUCUGCCUAUUAGUGGGGGACAACAUUCCGAAAGGGAUGCUAAUACCGCAUACGCCCUACGGGGGAAAGCAGGGGAUCUUCGGACCUCGCGCUAAUAGAUGAGCCUAAGUCGGAUUAGCUAGUUGGUGGGGUAAAGGCCUACCAAGGCGACGAUCUGUAGCGGGUCUGAGAGGAUGAUCCGCCACACUGGGACUGAGACACGGCCCAGACUCCUACGGGAGGCAGCAGUGGGGAAUAUUGGACAAUGGGCGGAAGCCUGAUCCAGCCAUGCCGCGUGUGUGAAGAAGGCCUUUUGGUUGUAAAGCACUUUAAGCGAGGAGGAGGCUACUAGUACUAAUACUACUGGAUAGUGGACGUUACUCGCAGAAUAAGCACCGGCUAACUCUGUGCCAGCCGCCGCAGUAAAAC